rnacentral:RNase_P_RNA from 1 species
GGAAGUAAACAGAGCAAUCGCCGGUGGAUAACCGCAAGGUACCACGGGAGGAAAGUCCGAGCUCCAUAGGGCAGGGUGCCGGCUAACGGCCGGUGGGGGCAACCCUAAGGCAAGUGCCACAGAAAUGUAGACCGCCGAUGGAGGGAAACCUCACAGGCAAGGAUGCAACGGUGCGGUAAGAGCGCACCAGCAGCAUGGGAACAUGCUGGCUAGGUAAACCCCACCUGGUGCAAGACCUGAUAGAGAACCCGUAUCCUUUGGAUACAGCUGUUGCCCGCAGUGGUUCUGGGUAGGUCGCUGGAGUUAAGUAGCAAUACUUAACCUAGACAGAUGAUUGCUGCUCCAAUAGUGGGAGAUACUUACAAGCUAUCGAUGACCACAUAAGGAGAACAGAACUCGGCUUAUUGGUUGCUUCCAUUU